rnacentral:pre_miRNA from 1 species
AAAGUACUCCCUCCGUCCCAAAAUUCUUGUCUUAGAUUUGUCUAGAUACGGAUGUAUCAAGUCACAUUUUAGUAUUAGAUACAUCUGUAUCUAGACAAAUCUAAGACAAGAAUUUUGGGACAGAGGGAGUAGUUG